rnacentral:lncRNA from 1 species
AAGAAUGCCGAUAAAAGCCAGUUCAUCUUGUUGUUCCCUUCAUGCUUCGACAGUUCCUAUGAUUCAUGUCCAUCAGUCUGUAGGGCAUUCCCACAUGCACCAGUGAUGUCAAGCACCAAUCAAGAAAUGAACAAGCUGACAAAAACUAUAAUAAGUGGAGGCCGUCAAAGUUAAGUUGAAAGAAAUGUCCAAUAGUUAAGCGUUAUUUUCAUAUUACAAGUUUGGCAAUGUCAAUUUCAAUAUCUACAUCAAACAAAGCCUUUUAAGAAAAAAAAUCAUAUUAAAGGAUUUAAGAUGGAGAGAGGAUUCAAGAUAGUUGGUCUCACUGAAAAUAGAGGUGUGGGGUUGUGCUUUACACUGACGCGAUAGUAAAACAAAGACCGCCAGACAAUUUUAAUGCAGGGCAUGGACUGACACAUCGCUGGUAUUGUAGCCCUCCACUCUAUGUGUGAUUUCAGAUUUAUAUUUGUUUGAUAGAAGAAAGAUGACAGAUAAUACAAUCAUCAGGUUGGGCACUGUUUAUGCAUUGGAAGGUAACCAAGGCAAAUAAAAUAUUCAUUAAGGACAUGUAAACAAAAAAUAAAAAUGAACUCCGGCCAUUAUCACCCAACUAAAACCAUUGGAUAAUGUACAACUCUAUAUUUUCAACAUACCUUGAGUAACAGUAGAGAGAAGAUGGCCGCAUGUCAAUUCUGAAUGGGAACAUCUUAAGAAUCGCAUGCCCUGUAGAAAGAAUAGCAGGAUGGGAAGUUUAUUGCUAAAAUGGAUCGAAGAAUAUUUUUUACAGUCAUACAACUCUAGGAUUCGAUUCGGAUGAAGUAGAAAUAUAGAUAAAUAUCAUUUUUUUGAGAACACAAAUAUAAAUAAACAUAAUCAGUAUGAAGGAAACACUGUUAUCAUUUUUUCACCGACCAAUGUACUCAUUGAAUUUGAGCGAGCUGUGAACAGUGCCCAAAUCAUGAUGGUUGUGCAAAAUUUCUAGUAACAUCACUUCUAACAGUACAUGAAUUAGUAACGUAUAAAUAUAUUCUUUUCAGUCAGCUUCGAAUCGGCAAACCAAGAGAAUGUACAUGUUUCUCUUCUUUAGCUUUUUGGCCCAGCGUUGUCACAAUUUUUUGCGAUAUUCUCUUUUGAGAUCCUCGAUUACUACCUUCAUGUAAAGCAUAACCAUCUACAUUAGAUCUUGACUGUUGAAUUUCUAGGUAGUAGGUAUCGGUUCACAUAAGUAGGAAAACACAAAUCUCUAAAAGUAACAUAUCCUUUCUUAGUAGCACUGGAAUUCUAUCAUUUAUGUAUUAAAUUCUCAAGGAAAUAUUUUAUCCUAAAGCCUAAAUCGUGAUGAAUUUCAGACUGCAAGUACACAGUUGUAGACACAAAGGACAUAUGCAGUUGACCAUGAGGCUCUUGAAGGCAAUUCAUCGAAUAACAAUACUCACAGUUUGGAGAAAUGGAGUGAGGUCUUUUGGCUGGUACAGCUGCACUUGAUGUCCCCAUCGUCACAUCCUUACGCCAGUGUGUGGGUCGCUCCUGAUGUCCCAUGCCCAGGCCUUCUCAACCGAACAAUGUCUGCCGUACCCGAUGACCUUUGUUGUAUUUAUCAACGAUCGCUUGCCACAAUCAACGAAGCCUGAUGAUCACCUCGCUCGAUGAAAAUUUUGUAACCCAUGCGUUGGACAAUAGCCAUGGAAGCAAAGUGACGAGGAGUACCCAACAGUAAGAGAGAAGCACAUGAUAUGUGUGUGCUUAUAAGGUGAAAAUAUGCGUCUAUGUUUUAUGUUCUUAGCUUUGUGUGAAGGACAGUCAAUUUCAGGAUGACAACAUCCAUUUUAAAGCAAAUGUUAGUUGGUAGAAAUAAACAUGCAACGACACUUAACUGCUUUACCAUUUGUACUUCACAAAAAGUGUUAAGCAUAGACUGACAAAGAAAAUACCUAGUCUGCAGGAUUACAAAAGUUGUAAGUACUUACCGGUAAUGAUCUAAAAAUUUAUCCACCAAAGUCAGUGCCAAUUCUUCUAGUGAUAACAUGAACAUUGUGACAAGGUAAACCGAG